UUGCCGGCGACCGGCGCACGGGUGAGUAACGCGUAUCCCACUCUUCCGUACACUCAGGGAUAGCCUUUCGAAAGAAAGAUUAAUACCUGAUGGUAUGAUGAGAUUGCAUGAUAGCAUCAUUAAAGAUUCAUCGGUGUACGAUGGGGAUGCGUUCCAUUAGGUAGUAGGCGGGGUAACGGCCCACCUAGCCGACGAUGGAUAGGGGUUCUGGGAGGAAGGUCCCCCACAUUGGAACUGAGACACGGUCCAAACUCCUACGGGAGGCAGCAGUGAGGAAUAUUGGUCAAUGGACGAGAGUCUGAACCAGCCAAGUAGCGUGAAGGAUGAAGGUCCUACGGAUUGUAAACUUCUUUUAUAAGGGAAUAAACCCUCCCACGUGUGGGAGCUUGUAUGUACCUUAUGAAUAAGCAUCGGCUAACUCCGUGCCAGCAGCCGCGGUAAUACGGAGGAUGCGAGCGUUAUCCGGAUUUAUUGGGUUUAAAGGGAGCGCAGACGGGUCGUUAAGUCAGCUGUGAAAGUUUGGGGCUCAACCUUAAAAUUGCAGUUGAUACUGGCGUCCUUGAGUGCGGUUGAGGUGUGCGGAAUUCGUGGUGUAGCGGUGAAAUGCUUAGAUAUCACGAAGAACUCCGAUUG
rnacentral:rRNA from 1 species